rnacentral:rRNA from 1 species
CCUACGUGCGGCAGCAGUGAGGAAUAUUGGUCAAUGGACGAGAGUCUGAACCAGCCAAGUAGCGUGAAGGAUGACUGCCCUAUGGGUUGUAAACUUCUUUUAUAUGGGAAUAAAAUGUUCCACGUGUGGGAUUUUGUAUGUACCUUAUGAAUAAGGAUCGGCUAACUCCGUGCCAGCAGCCGCGGUAAUACGGAGGAUCCGAGCGUUAUCCGGAUUUAUUGGGUUUAAAGGGUGCGUAGGUGGAUUGUUAAGUCAGUUGUGAAAGUUUGCGGCUCAACCGUAAGAUUGCAGUUGAAACUGGCAGGCGUGAGUACAGUAGAGGUGGGCGGAAUGCGUGGUGUAGCGGUGAAAUGCUUAGAUAUCGCGAAGAACUCCGAUUGCGAAGGCAGCACACUGGACUGAAACUGACACUGAGGCUCGAAAGUGUGGGUAUCAAACAGGAUUAGAUACCCGAGUAGUC